rnacentral:tRNA from 1 species
GCCCUGGGGGCGCAGGGUCACCCCGCGCUGCUCUGCAAGCAGGGGGUGAGGGGUUCGAGUCCCCUGGGCUCCA